AUUGAACGCUGGCGGCAUGCCUUACACAUGCAAGUCGAACGGCAGCACGGGGAGCAAUCCUGGUGGCGAGUGGCGAACGGGUGAGUAAUAUAUCGGAACGUGCCCAGUCGUGGGGGAUAACGUAGCGAAAGCUACGCUAAUACCGCAUACGAUCUAUGGAUGAAAGCGGGGGAGUCGCAAGACCUCGCGCGAUUGGAGCGGCCGAUAUCAGAUUAGGUAGUUGGUGGGGGUAAAAGCUUACCAAGCCUGCGAUCUGUAGCUGGUCUGAGAGGACGACCAGCCACACUGGAACUGAGACACGGUCCAGACUCCUACGGGAGGCAGCAGUGGGGAAUUUUGGACAAUGGGCGCAAGCCUGAUCCAGCAAUGCCGCGUGUGUGAAGAAGGCCUGCGGGUUGUAAAGCACUUUCAGUGGGGAAGAACAGAUUCGGGUCAAUACCCGGAGCCCUGACGUUACCACAGAAGAAGCACCGGC
rnacentral:rRNA from 1 species